rnacentral:tRNA from 1 species
GGAGAUAUAACUCAGUUGGUAGAGUGCUUGCCUUGCAUGCACAAGGCCCUGGGUUCAAUCCCCAGCACCA